rnacentral:rRNA from 1 species
UACGUAGGGUGCAAGCGUUAAUCGGAAUUACUGGGCGUAAAGCGUGCGCAGGCGGAUGCAUAAGUCAGACGUGAAAGCCCCGGGCUUAACCUGGGAAUGGCAUUUGGGACUGCAAGGCUUGAGUGCGGCAGAGGAGACUGGAAUUCCUGGUGUAGCAGUGAAAUGCGUAGAUAUCAGGAGGAAUACCGAUGGCGAAGGCAGGUCUCUGGGCUGACACUGACGCUCAUGCACGAAAGCGUGGGGAGCAAACAGG